GCCAGUGUGAUACAGUGGUUUGAGUGUUGGACUAUGACUCUGGAGAUCAGGGUUCAAAUCCCUGUUUGGCA